rnacentral:rRNA from 1 species
CGCGUAGGCGGUUACUUAAGUGAGAUGUGAAAAGUCAGGGCUUAACCUUGAGGUGCCAUCUUAAACUGAGUGACUAGAGUGCGGAAGAGGUGAGAGGAAUUUCCGGUGUAGCGGUGAAAUGCGUAGAUAUCGGGAGGAACAUCAGUGGUGAAGGCGACUCACUGGUCCGCAACUGACGCUGAGGCGCGAAAGCGUGGGUAGCGAACA